AAAGUAGCCCAGAUAAUUUCUACUUUAAGUUUUUUAUUUCAGAAUUGGACUUUCCAUGCAAAUACAAACUAAACAUCAUCUUCUUUUACCCCAUGAGCAUGAGAUUGGUUUUUUUCUUUUUUGGAUUUCUUUCUGUUUUGAGUGAGGGAUUCACAUAUUCCAGGUUGACCUCAAAAAGGAUGCUCUUCUGUUCCUCGUGACGCUACCUCCCCCAGGAAUGACAGGUAUGUGCUACCACUUCUCUUGUAUUUUUAUUAUAAAGCCACAUUACAAUUGCUAUGAGAGCUAAAGUAGCGCACAUUAAUUAAAGGUCACCAUUUCAUAGCUUUGCAGAUGAAUAACUGCUGCGGAGAAAAGCCUGAGAAAACAGGAUGAAGAUUCUAUGUGUGUUGAUUUGGCAACACAGAAUAACGUUGUACAGGUCUCUUCAUUUGUUGCUAGAAAGAAUAAAUACACAUUCCUGUUUCACAGCAGCAUGCUAAUGCAAGUGAGAAGCAUAGUGUGGCAACUAGAGACAACAUUUGAAUUCAAAAACAUGUUAGGG
rnacentral:lncRNA from 1 species